rnacentral:rRNA from 1 species
CCUACGGGAGGCAGCAGUGGGGAAUAUUGCACAAUGGGCGCAAGCCUGAUGCAGCAACGCCGCGUGAGGGAUGAAGGCCUUCGGGUUGUAAACCUCUUUUAGCAGGGAAGAAGCGAAAGUGACGGUACCUGCAGAAAAAGCACCGGCUAACUACGUGCCAGCAGCCGCGGUAAUACGUAGGGUGCAAGCGUUGUCCGGAAUUAUUGGGCGUAAAGAGCUCGUAGGCGGUUUGUCACGUCUGCUGUGAAAAUCCAAGGCCCAACCUUGGACUUGCAGUGGGUACGGGCAGGCUAGAGUGCGGUAGGGGAGAUGGGAAUUCCUGGUGUAGCGGUGGAAUGCGCAGAUAUCAGGAGGAACACCAAUGGCGAAGGCACAUCUCUGGGCCGUAACUGACGCUGAGGAGCGAAAGCGUGGGGAGCAAACAGGAUUAGAUACCCUGGUAGUCCACGCCGUAAACGGUGGGUGCUAGCUGUGGGUCACAUUCCACGUGAUCCGUAACGAAGUUAACACAUUAAGCACCCCGCCUGGGGAGUACGGCCGCAAGGCUAAAACUCAAAGGAAUUGACGG